rnacentral:lncRNA from 12 species
GCCGCAUCCACACUGACAAGAGUCUCCAGCCUCCUCAGGACCCACUGUGAAGGUUUGAGAAGAUUUGGGGCCACAUCUAUGCUGACAGGAGCCCCCAGCAUCCUCAGGUCUUCUGGUGAGGCUUGAGGAAAAUGUUGGGCCACCUCAACACUGACAGGACCCCCGUCCUCCUCAGGACAUGCACUUUGGCUUCGGGAAAUAUGGGGCUGCGUCUAUGCUGACAGGAGCCCACAGCUCCUCAGGACGUGUGGUGAGUUUUCUGGGGGACGUGUGGCCAUGUCCAGGCUGACAGGAGCCCCGGGCCACCUGAGGACCUGCUGUGAGGCUUCCAGACGAUGUGAGGCAUAGUCCACAGUGACAGGAGACCCAGCGUCCUGUCAGGACCCUCUGACUAUGACUCAGGAACAAUUGGGGCCACGUCCAUACUCACAGGAACCCUGCUUCCUCAGGACCCCCUGGAGGACUCUGGAGGCGCUGUUGGGGGUCACGUCCACAUCAGAAGGGACUACUCAGAACCACAGGGACCCACUGUGAAGUUUUUGGAAGAUUUGGGGCCACAUCUAUGCUGACAGGAGCCCCCAGCCUCCUCAGGUCUUACGGUGAGGCUGAGGAAAAUGUGGGGCCACGUCAAUCCUGACAGGACCUGGACUUUGGCUUCU